GCCUGGCUGGCUCAGUCAUUGUAGCAUGGGACUCCUGAUCUCAAGGUCGUGAGUUCAAGCCCCAUGUUGGGUG
rnacentral:tRNA from 1 species